GGGUUGUGAGGUUAAGCGACUAAGCGUACACGGUGGAUGCCCUGGCAGUCAGAGGCGAUGAAGGGCGUGCUAAUCUGCGAUAAGCGCCGGUAAGGUGAUAUGAACCGUUAUAACCGGCGAUACCCGAAUGGGGAAACCCAGUGUGAUUCGUCACACUAUCAUUAACUGAAUCCAUAGGUUAAUGAGGCGAACCGGGGGAACUGAAACAUCUAAGUACCCCGAGGAAAAGAAAUCAACCGAGAUUCCCCCAGUAGCGGCGAGCGAACGGGGAGGAGCCCAGAGCCUGAAUCAGCAUGUGUGUUAGUGGAAGCGUCUGGAAAGGCGCGCGAUACAGGGUGACAGCCCCGUACACAAAAGCGCAUGUGCUGUGAGCUCGAUGAGUAGGGCGGGACACGUGGUAUCCUGUCUGAAUAUGGGGGGACCAUCCUCCAAGGCUAAAUACUCCUGACUGACCGAUAGUGAACCAGUACCGUGAGGGAAAGGCGAAAAGAACCCCGGCGAGGGGAGUGAAAAAGAACCUGAAACCGUGUACGUACAAGCAGUGGGAGNNNNNNNNNNNNNNNNUGACUGCGUACCUUUUGUAUAAUGGGUCAGCGACUUAUAUUCUGUAGCAAGGUUAACCGAAUAGGGGAGCCGGAGGGAAACCGAGUCUUAAUUGGGCGUUAAGUUGCAGGGUAUAGACCCGAAACCCGGUGAUCUAGCCAUGGGCAGGUUGAAGGUUGGGUAACACUAACUGGAGGACCGAACCGACUAAUGUUGAAAAAUUAGCGGAUGACCUGUGGCUGGGGGUGAAAGGCCAAUCAAACCGGGAGAUAGCUGGUUCUCCCCGAAAGCUAUUUAGGUAGCGCCUCGUGAAUUCAUCUCCGGGGGUAGAGCACUGUUUCGGCUAGGGGGCCAUCCCGGCUUACCAACCCGAUGCAAACUGCGAAUACCGGAGAAUGUUAUCACGGGAGACACACGGCGGGUGCUAACGUCCGUCGUGAAGAGGGAAACAACCCAGACCGCCAGCUAAGGUCCCAAAGUCAUGGUUAAGUGGGAAACGAUGUGGGAAGGCCCAGACAGCCAGGAUGUUGGCUUAGAAGCAGCCAUCAUUUAAAGAAAGCGUAAUAGCUCACUGGUCGAGUCGGCCUGCGCGGAAGAUGUAACGGGGCUAAACCAUGCACCGAAGCUGCGGCAGCGACACUGUGUGUUGUUGGGUAGGGGAGCGUUCUGUAAGCCUGUGAAGGUGUGUCGUGAGGCAUGCUGGAGGUAUCAGAAGUGCGAAUGCUGACAUAAGUAACGAUAAAGCGGGUGAAAAGCCCGCUCGCCGGAAGACCAAGGGUUCCUGUCCAACGUUAAUCGGGGCAGGGUGAGUCGACCCCUAAGGCGAGGCCGAAAGGCGUAGUCGAUGGGAAACGGGUUAAUAUUCCCGUACUUGGUGUUACUGCGAAGGGGGGACGGAGAAGGCUAUGUUGGCCGGGCGACGGUUGUCCCGGUUUAAGCGUGUAGGUGUGUGUUCCAGGUAAAUCCGGUUCACUUUAACACUGAGGCGUGACGACGAGGCACUACGGUGCUGAAGCAACAAAUGCCCUGCUUCCAGGAAAAGCCUCUAAGCAUCAGGUAACAUCAAAUCGUACCCCAAACCGACACAGGUGGUCAGGUAGAGAAUACCAAGGCGCUUGAGAGAACUCGGGUGAAGGAACUAGGCAAAAUGGUGCCGUAACUUCGGGAGAAGGCACGCUGACACGUAGGUGAAGUGAUUUACUCAUGGAGCUGAAGUCAGUCGAAGAUACCAGCUGGCUGCAACUGUUUAUUAAAAACACAGCACUGUGCAAACACGAAAGUGGACGUAUACGGUGUGACGCCUGCCCGGUGCCGGAAGGUUAAUUGAUGGGGUCAGCGCAAGCGAAGCUCCUGAUCGAAGCCCCGGUAAACGGCGGCCGUAACUAUAACGGUCCUAAGGUAGCGAAAUUCCUUGUCGGGUAAGUUCCGACCUGCACGAAUGGCGUAAUGAUGGCCAGGCUGUCUCCACCCGAGACUCAGUGAAAUUGAACUCGCUGUGAAGAUGCAGUGUACCCGCGGCAAGACGGAAAGACCCCGUGAACCUUUACUAUAGCUUGACACUGAACAUUGAGCCUUGAUGUGUAGGAUAGGUGGGAGGCUUUGAAGUGUGGACGCCAGUCUGCAUGGAGCCGACCUUGAAAUACCACCCUUUAAUGUUUGAUGUUCUAACGUGGACCCGUUACCCGGGUUGCGGACAGUGUCUGGUGGGUAGUUUGACUGGGGCGGUCUCCUCCUAAAGAGUAACGGAGGAGCACGAAGGUUGGCUAAUCCUGGUCGGACAUCAGGAGGUUAGUGCAAUGGCAUAAGCCAGCUUGACUGCGAGCGUGACGGCGCGAGCAGGUGCGAAAGCAGGUCAUAGUGAUCCGGUGGUUCUGAAUGGAAGGGCCAUCGCUCAACGGAUAAAAGGUACUCCGGGGAUAACAGGCUGAUACCGCCCAAGAGUUCAUAUCGACGGCGGUGUUUGGCACCUCGAUGUCGGCUCAUCACAUCCUGGGGCUGAAGUAGGUCCCAAGGGUAUGGCUGUUCGCCAUUUAAAGUGGUACGCGAGCUGGGUUUAGAACGUCGUGAGACAGUUCGGUCCCUAUCUGCCGUGGGCGCUGGAGAACUGAGGGGGGCUGCUCCUAGUACGAGAGGACCGGAGUGGACGCAUCACUGGUGUUCGGGUUGUCAUGCCAAUGGCACUGCCCGGUAGCUAAAUGCGGAAGAGAUAAGUGCUGAAAGCAUCUAAGCACGAAACUUGCCCCGAGAUGAGUUCUCCCUGAGACUUAGAGUCUCCUGAAGGAACGUUGAAGACGACGACGUUGAUAGGCCGGGUGUGUAAGCGCAGCGAUGCGUUGAGCUAACCGGUACUAAUGAACCGUGAGGCUUAACCUUACAACGCCGAAG
rnacentral:rRNA from 1 species